GCCAGUGUGGUGUAGUGGUUUGAAUGUUGGACUAUGACUUUGAAGACCAGAGUUCAAAUCCCGGCUUGGUCA